GCUUGAACCAGGGAGGUGGAAGUCGAGGUGAGCCGAGAUCGCGCCAUUGCACUCCAGCCUGGGCAACAAGAGUGAAACUCCGUCUCAAAAAAAAAUUCUUAAAAACCGGCAGAAAAUGUAUCAGGGUGCCCGGUACUAACAGGAGAUGAGACAUAGGCAAGAGCCCAGCCCUCGAAUUGCUAACAGUUUUGCUUGGGAACCGGAAUUAAUGUCUUCAGCAUACUCAGGCCAAGGUGACAGCACCGGCUCUCAGAGAGGUUGGAUUUCAGCAACUUCCCAUCCUCUCAACCCACACAGGAACAGGCCAGACACCCAGCUGGUGAACCUGUGUCCUGGAGGAAUGCAGGAGCAGCUGCUCAUUGUAUUCAAACCUUUGAUGGAAGGUGGUUUGAAUGAUAAUGGUUGAACAGACUCCAAGGCUGAGAGGACGGUUUUUUAUAGGGUUGGGGUUUCGCCAUGUUGCCCAGGCUGGCCUCAAACUGCUGAACUCAAGCAAUCUGCCCAUCUUAGCCUCCAAAAAUGCUGGGAUUCCAGGUGAGAGCCAUCACGCCUGGCUAUUUUUAAAAAGAGU
rnacentral:lncRNA from 10 species